CUGAGAACGUCCCUGUGCUUCUCUUACCUGGCAUCUGGCUACAGAGCCAAAGAAACAGUGCAUGUAUACAGCCGGAAAAAGUCAGAAUUUUACUCUAACAACAAAGAGGAAAAUUUCCUGUGGAACAUACACACAGAACAACUCAACUGGUCCAAAACGUCACUGACUGGAAACCAUUUCGCAGUGGUAUGAAGUGCUGUGGCUCCAACAUCAGGAGAUGGGAGUGAGCACCCAGUUCAUCAUGCUUUGCAGUAGGAAGGUGGACUCCACCAUAAUUGGCUCGAGCAGUUUCCGCCCAAGUCGGAGAUCUCCGGGGAGGACCUCAUUUAGGGGGACUCCGCAUCCAUCUCAUGGAGAACUCUGAGCCACGUGGUAGAGCCUAACAAACUCUACGCGUGUCUCGGAGCUGACCGGUGGUUUGAUCAGCUACCAAGACUCUCUCCCCGUUGCCACAUGAUCCCUCGAUGUACCCUACCCUGCCCGCUCGUCGAGAGUCACCUUUCGGACUCUCGUUUCGGUUGUUCCACGAAGCCUAGCAAACUCCAAGAGUGUGUAUCCAGAGCUCUGUUCGUGUUUGUUUUGUGGAGCCUAGCAAACUCCACGUGUGUCUUUUUGUAACUGCAACUCAAGAAAGUUUUCCUGCCUGCACCGCGACCACCUAUG